rnacentral:rRNA from 1 species
CACGUAGGCACCAAGCGUUGUCCGGAUUUAUUGGGCGUAAAGAGCUCGUAGGCGGUUUGUUGCGUCGGCCGUGAAAACCUGCAGCUUAACUGUGGGCCUGCGGCCGAUACGGGCAGACUUGAGUUCGGUAGGGGAGACUGGAAUUCCUGGUGUAGCGGUGAAAUGCGCAGAUAUCAGGAGGAACACCGGUGGCGAAGGCGGGUCUCUGGGCCGAUACUGACGCUGAGGAGCGAAAGCGUGGGGAGCGAACAGG